CUGGGAUUUUACUAUCUGAUUUGCAUCUACAAGAUUAGUUCAAGUCUUAACCUUGUUUCUUGCUCACAUAGGAAUACCCAUCAAAAUGUGGUGUUUGGAUAAAGCAAGCUCUCUUAUAGGGGUUACCUCCAGCAAAAGAAAUGCAAAACACCUUUCUCAUGACCCUGAGGAGUUGUGGCACCUCCCACGAGGAAAGAAAGCAAACAGGGAUGGAUGAGCGCUUCCAGGAUAAUACCAUCCUAUUGCCUUCAGCUCCCCCAAGCACUCAGAUGGAGAUGGAAUGGAC
rnacentral:lncRNA from 1 species